rnacentral:lncRNA from 1 species
UUAAAGGUUGCAUUUCUGUAAAUAUUGACAAUGCAAUUUCCCAUAGGAACUCCUUUUACGGCUAAAACUGUACCACUUUUACUAUGAAAUUUUGAAAAAAAUCUUAUCCUAGAAUUGAAAGUUCAUAUGCACCACAAUUUUUUUCAAAGGUCAAAAUAUAGGGCUGUGCGGCAUAUUUUCAACGUUUAUAUGUCCUGAACUUCUCAUAGUUUAAACUUACACUCAUUUUCUUAACUACCCCUACCUCGAAUGAAAGGUUACCACAGAUUUCAAUGUAAACAAUAUGCACGUGUUUAUUUACUGGUAACAUUCCCAAGUUCUGUCUCUGUGAUAUGGAACACAGAGAGCAUAACUGGGAACCAGUAUGUAAACAAAAUGAAUUUUCUAUGAAUAUUCAAUUACUCCCCAAAAGAGGCGUGUUUUGAGAAACAGCUGUAUUUACAAAGUGCAACCUAAA